CAGUCGCCACGGGAAUACGGAGGGUGCAAGCGUUAAUCGGAAUUACUGGGCGUAAAGCGCACGCAGGCGGUUUGUUAAGUCAGAUGUGAAAUCCCCGAGCUUAACUUGGGAACUGCAUUUGAAACUGGCAAGCUAGAGUCUUGUAGAGGGGGGUAGAAUUCCAGGUGUAGCGGUGAAAUGCGUAGAGAUCUGGAGGAAUACCGGUGGCGAAGGCGGCCAUCUGGGACAACACUGACGCUGAGGCACGAAAGCGUGGGGAGCAAACAGGAUUAGAUACCCGCGUAGUCCCUGUCUCUUAUAC
rnacentral:rRNA from 1 species